AUUGAACGCUGGCGGCAUGCCUUACACAUGCAAGUCGAACGGUAACAGGUCUUCGGAUGCUGACGAGUGGCGAACGGGUGAGUAAUACGUCGGAACGUGCCUAGUAGUGGGGGAUAACUACUCGAAAGAGUGGCUAAUACCGCAUGAGAUCUACGGAUGCAAGCAGGGGAUCGCAAGACAUUGUGCUACAAGAGCGGCCGAUGGCAGAUUAGGUAGUUGGUGGGAUAAAAGAUUACCAAGCCGACGAUCUGUAGCUGGUCUGAGAGGACGAUCAGCCACACUGGGGCUGAGACACGGCCCAGACUCCUACGGGAGGCAGCAGUGGGGAAUUUUGGACAAUGGGCGAAAGCCUGAUCCAGCAAUGCCGCGUGCAGGAUGAAGGCCUUCGGGUUGUAAACUGCUUUUGUACGGAACGAAAAGCCCCGGGUUAAUACCCUGGGGUCAUGACGGUACCGUAAGAAUAAGCACCGGCUAACUACGUGCCAGCCGCCGCUGUAA
rnacentral:rRNA from 1 species